UACGGGGGGGGCAAGCGUUGUUCGGAAUUACUGGGCGUAAAGGGCUCGUAGGUGGCCAACUAAGUCAGACGUGAAAUCCCUCGGCUUAACCGGGGAACUGCGUCUGAUACUGGAUGGCUUGAGAUUGGGAGAGGGAUGCGGAAUUCCAGGUGUAGCGGUGAAAUGCGUAGAUAUCUGGAGGAACACCGGUGGCGAAGGCGGCAUCCUGGACCGACACUGACGCUGAGGAGCGAAAGCCAGGGGAGCAAACGGG
rnacentral:rRNA from 1 species